CAAUAGCGUAUAUUAAAGUUGUUGCGGUUAAAAAGCUCGUAGUUGGAUUUCUGCUGAGAACGACCGGUCCGCCCUUUGGGUGUGUAUCUGGCUCUUUCUUGGCAUCUUCUUGGUGAACGUUGCUGCACUUGACUGUGUGGAGCGCUACCCAGGACUUUUACUUUGAGGAAAUUAGAGUGUUUCAAGCAGGCAUACGCCUUGAAUACAUUAGCAUGGAAUAAUAAGAUAGGACUUUGGUGCUAUUUUGUUGGUUGAGCCUAAAGUAAUGAUUAAUAGGGAUAGUUGGGGGCACCUGUAUUGCGUUGUCAGAGGUGAAAUUCUUGGAUUUACGCAAGACAAACAGCUGCGAAAGCGUCUGCCAAGGAUGUUUUCAUUAA
rnacentral:rRNA from 1 species